UGCCAGACUCCUACGGGAGGCAGCAGUGAGGAAUAUUGGUCAAUGGGCGCGAGCCUGAACCAGCCAAGUCGCGUGAGGGAAGACGGUCCUAUGGAUUGUAAACCUCUUUUGUCGGGGAGCAAGGCCCGCCACGUGUGGCGGGAAGGAGAGUACCCGAAGAAAAAGCAUCGGCUAACUCCGUGCCAGCAGCCGCGGUAAUACGGAGGAUGCGAGCGUUAUCCGGAUUUAUUGGGUUUAAAGGGUGCGCAGGCGGAAUGUCAAGUCAGCGGUAAAAUUUCGGGGCUCAACCCCGUCGUGCCGUUGAAACUGGCGUUCUUGAGUGAGCGAGAAGUAUGCGGAAUGCGUGGUGUAGCGGUGAAAUGCAUAGAUAUCACGCAGAACUCCGAUUGCGAAGGCAGCAUACCGGCGCUCAACUGACGCUCAUGCACGAAAGCGUGGGUAUCGAACAGGAUUAGAUACCCAGUA
rnacentral:rRNA from 1 species